ACUUGGAAAAUGCACAUGAACACCCCUAAUAUGGUAUUUUCCACUGGGCAACUCGUAAAAUAUUUUGAUGCCCGAGUUGCCGAGAUGAGAUUACCUUUGACCUUUUCAAAAUGGCAGAGAGCAGCAGCAACGUCGUGAAUGGUUGAAUGACAACAAAAGCAAUGGUAAAUUCUAGUUCACAAAUGGAAAAUGCACUUGAACACAACACGCUGGUAACGACCAGUUCACAAAUGGAAAAUAUCAUCUUUCCCAUAGCACUUGAAGGCAGCAUGAGAAGAUGACAACAGCACAGCGGGGUUUUAGAAGCCAAUCAGAGUGAUUUUCUGAGUUCUUUCACAUAUGCUGUAUGGUCAGCGAAUGGAUGGAUUAUCCAGUCACGCUACAUAAUGAAAGACUUGACUGAGUUAGAAGAAACUGAGCGACUCUUCAGAGUGAAGAUGUUAUGAUGCAGUUAUGUCAAAGCACUCGUUUCGGCUGGCCAGAUUGGAACAGACCUGAAUGGGAAGAUGGCAGAGCUAAGACUGGCAAUGUCCAGGAAAAAUGUUAACUAAAAAUGAGUGUGUUUUUCCCCAGCGAGUGAGUUUGGGAAUGUUUUAAAUGUGCCUAGAAGUUUGAAAAUGUAAUACUGAGGGAAAAAAGUGAGCGAUUUGAAAAGGCUUUAAAAAGAAAAUAAAGUCUGAUGUUGAUGUUAAAUGAAGUUAAAGUUUUUACUUGAAAAGUUUGUACUUGUUUGUACUUGUCAAGUCUGUGCUGAAAAAAAUGCAGUAAAGUUUGUAUUUGAAAAGA